AACCUGGUUGAUCCUGCCAGUAGUCAUAUGUUUGUCUCAAAGAUUAAGCCAUGCAUGUCUCAGAAUAAGUCUUUAACAUGACAAAUCUGCGAAUGGCUCAUUAAAACAGUUAUAUUCUACCCGGAUUUGACUUUUAUAUGGAUAACUGUGCUAAUUGUAGAGCUAAUACGUGCGCGAAAACCCGACUUUUCGGAAGGGUUGUAUUUAUUAGAUACAGAACCAAUCCUCGCUUGCGAGGACAUUGGAUGAUUCAUAAUAAACGAACGGAGCGGAUGGCUUGUGCCGACGCUAUUCCGGUCGAGUUUCUGACCUAUCAGCUUUCGAUGGUGGGGUCUUGGCCCACCAUGGCUUUGACGGGUAACGGAGAAUUAGGGUUCGGUUCCGGAGAGGGAGCCCGAGAAACGGCUACCACAUCUAAGGAAGGCAGCAGGCGCGCAAAUUACCCAAUCCUGACACAGGGAGGUAGUGACAAGAAAUAACAAUGCAAGCCCGUUGGGUCUUUGUAUUUGGAAUGAUUAGAAUUUAAAUCCCUUUAAGAAUCAAUUGGAGGGCAAGUCUGGUGCCAGCAGCCGCGGUAAUUCCAGCUCCAAUAACGUAUAUUAAAGUUGUUGCGGUUAAAAAGCUCGUAGUUGGAUUUCUGUUGAAAGUGACCGGUCCCUACUCUGUAGGCGUAUCUGGCUCGCUUUUGGCAUCCUCCUGUGGAACGUUGCUGCCCUUUAUUGUGUGGCGCGGGACCCAGGACUUUUACUUUGAGGAAAUUCGAGUGUUUACGGCAGGCAAUCGCCCUGAAGAUAUUAGCAUGGAAUAAUAAUAUAGGACCUUGGUUCUAUUUUGUUGGUUUCUAGAGCUGAGGUAAUGAUUAAUAGGGAUAUUUGGGGGCAUUCGUAUUAACCGGUCAGAGGUGGAAUUCUUGGAUUCGGUUACGACGAACUACUGCGAAAGCAUUUGUCAAGAAUGUUUUCAUUGAUCA
rnacentral:rRNA from 1 species